UACGGGAGGCAGCAGUGGGGAAUAUUGCACAAUGGGCGAAAGCCUGAUGCAGCGACGCCGCGUGAGGGAUGACGGCCUUCGGGUUGUAAACCUCUUUCGCUAGGGACGAAGCGCAAGUGACGGUACCUAGAUAAGAAGCACCGGCUAACUACGUGCCAGCAGCCGCGGUAAUACGUAGGGUGCGAGCGUUGUCCGGAAUUAUUGGGCGUAAAGAGCUCGUAGGCGGUUUGUUGCGUCUGCCGUGAAAUUCGGGGGCUUAACCCUCGGCUUGCGGUGGAUACGGGCAGACUUGAGUUCGGUAGGGGAGUCUGGAAUUCCUGGUGUAGCGGUGAAAUGCGCAGAUAUCAGGAGGAACACCGGUGGCGAAGGCGGGACUCUGGGCCGAUACUGACGCUGAGGAGCGAAAGCGUGGGGAGCGAACAGGAUUAGAUACCCUGGUAGUCCACGCUGUAAACGUUGGGCGCUAGGUGUGGGCGACAUCCACGUUGUCCGUGCCGUAGCUAACGCAUUAAGCGCCCCGCCUGGGGAGUACGGCCGCAAGGCUAAAACUCAAAUGAAUUGACGGG
rnacentral:rRNA from 1 species